AUGAGGCAACGUGCAUAUGCGUCCAGCGGCGCCAUGGCGGCCACCCAUGAGGAGUGCGCCUGCGCCAGCGCUGUGACCCGGAAGUGCAACCGCACGGGCGGCCUCUUCUGCCCCGCGGUGCUCAGGUGGGAGUCCGCGCCGCGUUCUCACCUGCCCAGAGCCUGCGCAAGCCCUGAGGAGCUGUCCUCCAUGCUGCUGUCCGACGCUGCAGGCCAAGCCUGGGGGAGACCCAGCGCCCCCAGGGUCAGGCCGGGAUCAGGAGAGGCUGCGGCGGGAGGCGGCAGUUUUGUUCCCUUGGGCUUGUGGAAAUUUCUGGACGCGGUCCUCUUCUUUGGCCCCUGUGGAAGUCUACACCUCAGGAUUCAACUUCUGUCCCUAAGGAGCAGAAACGUUCUCUCUGCCGGUGUUCAGUGCAGUGGCGAUCCUGUCACAAGGAGAUCAUUAUUGGUGUAUAAGAAUACAACUUUUGGGGACCUAGCCGCGGGACCGAGCUGCGCAAGCCGAGCCGCGGGACGGACCGAGCCGCUGGAACGCGAGAGGAAACCCUUCUGGAUUGAGUGGUCGUGAAUCGGAGGACCUACUGGGAGAACAAGGUCGCCCACCGUGCGGAAGCCGAGCCGCGGGACCGAGCCGCGGAAGCCUAGCCGCGGGACCGAGCUGUGCAGGCCGAGCCGCGGGACAGAGCCGCUGGAACGCGAGGUGAGCCGAACCUCAAUAGCCCGAGACACCGGCAGGCAAGCGGAGAGAGGAGACUAGAGGGAAUGACCCCCGGGGGGGGGGGGACUUCACCAGGCUAACUGGAAGAGAGAGAGAGGUGACUGGUACGGACACAGGAUUUCUCUCUCUCCGCUCACCUCUCAAGGGCGAACAAGACAAAGAGCAGGCGCCAUCUUGGACAUACGUCAUAAGCAGAGCGACCUCAGGUCUGCACCGGCCCUGAGCCUAGCAGAAAAACCUGACUCUGGGUGGGGCAAAUUAACAGGAGAUUAGGACCUAGUAAAUUCGUGGUGCUACUGAACUGAGACUGUGAAAAAAGAGACGGUGGGGGAGAGAAUUCACGGAAUUCAUGUGAGCACUCUCCAGAGACGCUACUAUUCCGUAACUUUGGCAACCCAGUGGGAGACUGAAGGAGAAUUUGAGCCCACUCUGAGGGCCGAACAG
rnacentral:lncRNA from 1 species